rnacentral:lncRNA from 1 species
GGGAAGGGAAGGGACCCAGGCUAACAGACUCCAGAUACCAGCAGCAGCCCUUGAGCCAUGUUGCCUAAUUGUCCCCAAGGAGAAAACUUCCCAGGUCUUCGGAGGCAGCAAAAGCUUUCCUGGCACAGAGCUAGAAAAGAAGAUUCUCAUGGUGUCCCAUGUGGCAGGAACUACAGGAGCUGGGGUGGGUAAUCCAUUUAGGCCACUUGACAAACACCUAUUUUUAGGUCAACUCUGAGAAUAGAAAGAUGAAAAAGGAGUGGCCUCUGCCAUCCUGGAGCUAAGCAACUGGUAUAAGGGAAGUGACAGCCCCCAUGGAAUCGGACCAUUUCAACUUCAUGCGAUGAAUGACAGGUCAGGGCUUCUGGGCAUGACCAUAGGAAUGACCACAGCUAACAUUGACCAUGGGCCUAAUUUGUGUGCUGUUUGCUUUUUUUUUUUUUUGAGACAGAGUCUCACUCAAGUCACCAGGCUGGAUGGAGUGCAGUGGUGCAAUCUCAGCUCACUGCAACCUCCGCCUCCCAGGUUCAAGCGAUUCUCCUGCCUCAGCCUCCCGAGUAGCUGGGAUUACAGGCGCGCACCACCACGCCCAGCUAAUUUUUGUAUUUUUAGUAGAGACGGGGUUUCACCAUGUUGGCCAGGAUGGUCUCAAUCUCUUGACCUCGUGAUCCACCCACCUCACCCUCCCAAAGUGCUGAGAUUACAGGUCUGAGCCACUGCGCCCAGCCAUGCUGUGUGCUUUUUAGCAUUUUCUUCAGUUUUUGUUGCAACCUAUGAGUCAGGAACUCUUAUUAUGCUAUUUUACCUAGGAGGAAAAGAGCAUUCACAGAGAUUAAACAGUGUGUUCAGGCCGGGUGUGGUGGUAAUCACAUCCAUGACCGUAAUCCCAGCACUUUGGGAGGCCAAAGCGGGAGGAUUGCUUGAGUCCAGGAAUUCAAGACCAGCCUGGGCAACUUAGUAAAACCUCCAUCUCUUUUGUAAAAAAAUAAAUAAUAAAAUACUUUAGGAGGCCAAGGCAGGCAGAUCACUUGAGGUCAGGAGUUCAAGAUCAGCCUGGCCAACAUGGUGAAACCCCGUCUCUACUAUAAAUACAAAAAUUAGCUGGGUGUGGUGGCAUGCGCCUGUAGUCCCAGCUACUCAGGAGGCUGAGGCAGGAGAAUUGCUUGAACCUGGGAGGCAGAGGUUGCAGUGAGCUGA